UGGCUCAGAUUGAACGCUGGCGGCAGGCCUAACACAUGCAAGUCGAGCGGAUGAAGGGAGCUUGCUCCUGGAUUCAGCGGCGGACGGGUGAGUAAUGCCUAGGAAUCUGCCUGGUAGUGGGGGAUAACGUCCGGAAACGGGCGCUAAUACCGCAUACGUCCUGAGGGAGAAAGUGGGGGAUCUUCGGACCUCACGCUAUCAGAUGAGCCUAGGUCGGAUUAGCUAGUUGGUGGGGUAAAGGCCUACCAAGGCGACGAUCCGUAACUGGUCUGAGAGGAUGAUCAGUCACACUGGAACUGAGACACGGUCCAGACUCCUACGGGAGGCAGCAGUGGGGAAUAUUGGACAAUGGGCGAAAGCCUGAUCCAGCCAUGCCGCGUGUGUGAAGAAGGUCUUCGGAUUGUAAAGCACUUUAAGUUGGGAGGAAGGGCAGUAAGUUAAUACCUUGCUGUUUGACGUACCAAC
rnacentral:rRNA from 1 species